rnacentral:rRNA from 1 species
GACGUAGGGGGCGAGCGUUACCCGGAAUCACUGGGCGUAAAGGGCGCGUAGGCGGUUCGGUAAGUCGUCUGUGAAAGCCCCCGGCUUAACUGGGGGAGGUCGGACGAAACUGUCGAGCUGGAGGACGGCAGAGGAAGGUGGAACGGCCGGAGUAGCGGUGAAAUGCGUAGAUACCGGCCGGUAUCCCGAUGGCGAAGGCAACCUUCUGGGUCGUUCCUGACGCUGAGGCGCGAAAGCGUGGGGAGCAAACCGGAUUAGAUACCCCCGUAGUCC